rnacentral:lncRNA from 1 species
UUUUUUUUUUUUUUUUUUUUUUUGUAAAGACUUUUAUUUUCUAUUCCUACUGAGAAUUUUGGUCACAGGCAUCCAGCAGGGAUGUGGAUGUGGAGGGGAAGUUUCUCCUCAACUUUCCCCUGAUGUCCCCUUCUGGGUGCGGGAGAAAGGCAGGCAGGCAGCAAGGAUGGCACUGGCAGGAAGCCUAGGCAGGACGACUCUGAGAGGGAAGUCGUUUGGGUUUCCUCUCCAGCGCCGAGUGAGAACAUUCAGUCAAGAAAAGAGAUUUGCCUCGACUCAGCCCCACCGGUUUAGCCCCAGGAACCUGCAAUCCAGUCUCUUCUUGUGUGUGUGUGUGUGUGUGUGUGUGUGUGUGCGCGCAUGUCUUUUUAGGGCUGUACCCACAGCAUGUGGAGGUUCCCAGGCUAGGGGUCAAAGCCGAGCCACAGCCGCCGGCCUGCACCACAGCCACAGUGACGCGGAAUCCUUAUCGCGCUGAGUGAGGUCAGGGAUGGGAUCCGCAUCCACAUGGGUGCUAGUCGGAGUCCUUUCCCCUGAGCCGCCGUGGGAGCUCCCUCUAUUAUUAUUAUUUUUUAGCUUAUAAGUCUCUGUCAUCCCAGUGACACCGCGGGGCUUCCUUCUAUCUCCCUUGCUCUUUUGGCUCAUCACGUAGAAACCUCGGCCUUUUGGAAAUACAGAGCAGAGAAAUUGUUCCUCUUCUCACCAUUUUCUUCUCACGUCUCGCUCUGGUCUGAAUGUUUGUGUUUCUGCCACAGUCACAUGUUCAAGUCCUAAUGUCCAGUGAGACGGUAUGAGGAGGGUGGGUCUUGGGAGUUCAUCGACCCCAGUAAUGAGGUGACCGUCCUUCUAAAAGAGGCUGAGUGAGAGCUUCCCGGCCCCUUUCCCACGUGAGGAUGCAGCGAGAGGGCCCUCACCCGACCAUGCUGGCCCCUGAUCUUGGACUUCCAGUCUCCAGAACUGUGGUAAAUGAAUGACUGUUGUUUAUAGGCUGUGCUACGGCAGCCCGAAUGGACUAAGACACCUCUCCUAAUUUAUCUUGUUAGAAGGAUGAACAACAUAUUUGGCUCGGCCUCGGCGCUUUCCUCCAGUGAAAUAUUCAAAUGUAGUGUGAGUGUCUGCUUGGAUUAUGAUGAUGUCAAGUAUAAUUUAUUUCUUAGUCUAGUUUGAGUUAUAGAAGCUCAGAGAGCAUCCUCGAUGCAAAGGAACUGAAUUUUGUGUAACACCCAAGUUUCAAAAAUUUUAGCUUAGACUUCACUGGACCCUCCAUGAUAAUUUCUUUUCUGUUUCAUAGCGUGUAAAAGAUGCAGCCAUUUCCCCAUCCCUGGAUGACACGGAAUGGUAUCAGCGACCACCUCAGGCUUCUUUAGACUUUGAUUUACCUCAAAGCGUGGUUUUGGGUGUUUGCAGGAUCACGUUGUUUUCCGGGUCCUUGUAAAUUGAAUGAAUCGGACUAGAUCAUUUUCCGUCUUGUUCUACAUUCUAAUUUUUAGCUAAAUAUAACAUUCCUUUAAGGGGUCCAGCCCCCCACCCCUUAUGAUGUGUGCCAGCUCUUUGAGGGAUGGGGGUGAGGGUUCUUGAAGCCCUUCCGCUCUUUGUAGCCUUGCCCACAACAGGUGACCCAUUCUCUCUGCAGGGCGAGCCCUUCCUCUCUCAAUUUGACACGGCAGCCUUAGCCUCUGAAACUGUUUCACGCAGUUGUCGGCUAGUGCAGAAGCAAACAGGGAUUCGUCUCCAGAUUCUCCAAAUCUCCUUGCUCUUCCACUGAAACCGUCUCUGAUCAGGCACCCACGACUUUUCGACUUCCUUUACUUAAUUAGAACAGCAAAUAUCACUGCACCCAUCCCUUCUUCCUCAGGCUCGUAAAACCACUGGGGCACUGGAAGGGGAAAAACAAAUCAGAGACCUCUUUCUCAAUUCACCACCGUUUUUGUGAAUAUUAAUGAAGCAGCAUGAAAACGCUGCUGAAAGAGAAAACAAGAAAGCAGCCCUGGGUACCAGGGAAGCAGAGAUGCCUCCUUGUCAGCAGGUAACUCUCCUGCGAGUGGGUCUGCUGACUUCAAAAGUGAGGAGAGGUAUUUCUUGAGAUUUGGUUUCCUCUCUCAUCAUAUCUGUAGGAAUCCCAAGUUCCACGAUGGAAUCGUCCUGGCAUAUGCUUUCUUUUUCACUGUUUUGAAACUGAAAGAGGAAAGCUGCAUGGCCUCGCACAGUGUCCGCACAGCAUGCCCACGGCUGCAGCUGAGUCCUGAAAGACGUUGCGGGUUGUGACAUUCCCCUAAAUGUGCUGAGCUUUCUUUAACCUUUCAUAAAACAUUGUGAUCUUUAUGGACUGUAUCAUAUUGUGCAGUAAUGUGCUUUAUUGUCCACAGAAUAAGCUUUUCUUAAAGAUAAUUGGAAAGCUGGAAAUGGCUGCUAUCGGCUGAUUUUUUAAAAAUACAUUAUUUCUGAAAUGGGGCUGGUGUAAUAAUGACCCUAUCUGUUCAAGAUUUAAGAUUUGUCUUGGCAGAGAAAAUUGAUCCAUUUCACCUUUGUCUAAUGGAAAUUUUUAUCUAGGAUUAUCUGUUUAUGUAAAUGAAUGUUCCUCUGAAAAGGGAACUUGAGGGGCUGUAAAUCUUGGUGACACUUCAGUUUCAUAGGGGAGAAAUUGGAAAGGAUCCUAGUAUUUAUCUGCCUGAAAUUGGUUAUAAAAACAAAAUUAUCUUCGUGUACCUGCAACAUCUGAUGUUUCCUAGAAUUUCAUUACGUUUUUGAAUAAUUCAAUGCAGUGGUAAGAAUGGUGUUUCUAUAUUGCCUCAUUCAGAAGUUGUUUUUACUUUUUCUAUUUUCCAGUUGGUUUCUAAUGAUGACAUGAAAAAAGAAAUGAAACCCUUUUGCUUACCCACCUUUUAAGGAUGAGAUUUUUUUCCUACACAAUCUUAAUUGUCUUCUGCUAUUGUAGGCUCUUUGUUUGCAAUUGCAUGAAACGUGUUGGCAGAAGAGCCAUCAUUUCUCUUUUUAAAAAACUGUGGCUCACAUGAAUUCUGAUCUGUUGCCCAAAUUCUGAGGUUAGUAUCAAAACUGCUCUAUGUUAAACAAAGUAUUUUGGUUUUUCAAAGUAAUUUUUGAGCCAAGCUUACUCUAUAGUAUUUAGAAGGUGGCCAGGUGAUAACCUUGAUAAGUCAUCAGUGUUAGGACAAAAUCUUUUUUCCUCAACUUGAAGGAAAUUUGGAGAGUGAGAUUAACUCAUUUAAAUGUCAGUUCAUCAGAGAAAAAUGAAGGGAGGUUAAAAUUUUAAUUGCUUUAAUAUUUUUAAAAGAAAUGCAUUAUUUCUUUAAGAGGCUACAAACUUUAAUUAUCUGGUAGUUUUCAGGAUUACACUGUUUUUAUGUUUCUCUUGUAGCGACUUGCUUGGGAGUUUUUCUCCUUUAGAAAAUAUUUGAGGAGUUCCCUUUAUGCCGCAGUGGUAAUGAACCUGACUAGUAUCCAGGAGAACACAGCUUUGAUCCUUGGCCUUGCUCGGUGGGUUAAGGAUCCGGUGUUGUCGUGAGGUCUGGUGUGGCUUGCAGAUGCGGCUCAGAUCCUGCGUUGCUGUGGCUGUGGUGCAGGCAGGCAGCUGUAGCACUGAUUUGACCCCUAGCCUGGGAACUUCCAUAUGCCACAGGUGUGGCCCUAAAAAGACAGACAAAAUUUUUUUGGAGU